AACGAACGUUAGCGGCGCGCUUAAUACAUGCAAGUCGUACGAGAAAGGGCUUCGGCCCCGGUAAAGUGGCGCACGGGUGAGUAACACGUAGGUAACCUACCCUCGAGUGGUGGACAACUUCCCGAAAGGGGAGCUAAUACAGCAUAAGACCACGUAACCUUUUGGUUAUGCGGCCAAAGCGGGCCUCUCCAUGGAAGCUCGCGCUUGAGGAUGAGCCUGCGGCCCAUCAGCUUGUUGGUAAGGUAAAAGCUUACCAAGGCUAAGACGGGUAGCUGGUCUGAGAGGAUGGACAGCCACGCUGGAACUGAGACACGGUCCAGACUCCUACGGGAGGCAGCAGUAGGGAAUCUUGCGCAAUGGGCGAAAGCCUGACGCAGCGACGCCGCGUGAGCGAUGAAGGCCCUCGGGUUGUAAAGCUCUGUGGGGAGAGAAGAAUAAGCGUAAGCCAAUACCUUACGUGAUGACGGUAUCUCCUUAGCAAGCACCGGCUAACUCUGUGCCAGCAGCCGCGGUAAGACAGAGGGUGCGAACGUUGUUCGGAAUUACUGGGCGUAAAGCGCGUGUAGGCGGUUGCGCAAGUCGGAUGUGAAAGCCCAUGGCUCAACCAUGGAAGUGCACCCGAAACUGCGUAAC
rnacentral:rRNA from 1 species